UGACCGUGGCCCAAGGUAGCAUAAUCAAUUGUCUUUUAAUUGAAGGCUGGAAUGAAAGGUUGGAUGAGAUAUAAACUAUUUUUAUUUUAUGAAUAAUGAAUUUUAAUUUUAAGUAAAAAUGCUUAAAUAAAUAAAUUAGACGAGAAGACCCUAUAAAUCUUUAUUUUUUUAAAAAAAUAAAUAAAUUUAUAAAAAUUUUUGUUAUUUUUUUUUAAAGAAUUUAAUUGGGGUGAUUAUUAAAUUUAAUAAACUUUUAUUAAUUUUUACAACUUAUGUUUGAUUAUAAUGAUCCAUUAUUAAUGAUUAAAAGUUUAAGUUACUUUAGGGAUAACAGCGUAAUUAUUUUGAAGAGUUCUUAUCGAUAAAAUAGAUUGCGACCUCGAUGUUGAAUUAAGAUAAAUUUAAAUGUAGGAAGGU
rnacentral:rRNA from 1 species